rnacentral:rRNA from 1 species
UACAGAGGUCUCAAGCGUUGUUCGGAUUCAUUGGGCGUAAAGGGUGCGUAGGCGGCGCGGUAAGUCGGGUGUGAAAUCUCGGAGCUUAACUCCGAAACUGCAUUCGAUACUGCCGUGCUUGAGGACUGGAGAGGAGACUGGAAUUUACGGUGUAGCGGUGAAAUGCGUAGAUAUCGUAAGGAAGACCAGUGGCGAAGGCGGGCUCUGGACAGUUCCUGACGCUGAGGCACGAAGGCCAGGGGAGCAAACGGG